GUGGUGAGGGGAGGCGCGAGGGCCGCUCUGAACGCCAGCUUGUCGGUUCGUGAAGAACUUCUGGAAGCUAUGUAAUUAUUUCCGUUAGACUGCUAAAACAUGAGACAGCAACGGCUCCUUCUCUUCAGACUGUCCUGCUUUUACGUUACUGUCUCGUUUGCUUUUGUUCUGGUUUUAUCCGUUUUCUUCAGUGUGAGUGACAGGAGGAGAGACUAGAGAAAUAGCCCAGGGCCUCGGCAGCCUUUAUUGGAAGUGUUACCCACCUUGAACGCUCAUUCUAAAGGCACUAGAAAGUUAUUAAAGGUGUUUUGGUUUUGUUGUUAAUUACGGACGCACACAGCGGGGUGCAGUAUAUGUAGGUCCAGCUUAAAUAAUAAAACCAACACGCGGGAAAGGCGCGCUCAGACCCCAAAGGCCCCGGACAAGCACCUCUCAACAUCAUAUUCUUCUUUCUGAGACAUGAAGUAACUGUCCUAAAACAUGUCGAUCAUUCUGUUCUUUUUCUUCAUAAUCUAUCUAUGCACAAAGCAGUUUAAUUUGCCUGUUUUCGAAUUUUAUGUGAAUGAGAGAGGACUGUAGGCGUGGUUCUGUGCCUUCUUAGACUUAACUUUGUUUUUCUUACUUAAUCAGGGCAACACUUGAAGCUGUAGUUUACUAUUUUCGCUGCUAUAUGGUGUUCACUUGUAUUAUAUGCUGAUUUAUAUUUCCAUUCUAACAUUGGUGAACAUUCGCAUUGUUUCCAUUGUUUGCUAUUAUAAACAAUGCUGCUAUUAACAUCUUUGUACAUAACUGUUGGUUUACGUGGCCAAGAGUUUCUCUAGGUUAUGUACUUGACGUGUAGGGUAUGUGCGGGUGGUGCUAAUUCUUUUCCAAAGGGUUUGUGCCAGUUUAUACUCCCAUUAGCAGGGGAUAAGAGUUCUCAUUGCUCUACAUCCACAGUAACGCUUGAUAUUAUCUGAAUUUCUGUCACUUUGAUAAGUAUGAAAUGGUAUCUAGUUAGGGCCUUAAUUUGAACUUUUUUGUAUUACUAAUGAGGUUGCACAAUUUUCACAUGUGUUGGGGGCUAUUUGUACUUCUUCUGUUGUGAAACUCCUAUAUAUUUUUUGGCAGUUUUUUAAUGCAUAGCCAUUGAAAUGUUUAAAUUGGGUAAGGACUUGGUCAGAUGUGCAUUUUAAGUAAUGACAGUUGUAGAUUUUGAGGGCUUUUUUUUAGGGUAUUGAGAAGUGAAUGAUAUAUGAAGACUAGCUAAUUCUCUGUGAUUUGAACCAGAAAUAGCAAAGUGAAUGUCAUUAUAAGAAACAGAAAGCAGGUUUACCUGACUGGGGUGGGUAACAUGGACUAUGAAGACCAACUUCUCAAACUUGAGUGUGCAUAAGAAUCUCCUGAGGAGAUUGUUAAAACAGAGAUUCUUGCCGUAGCCAGGUAGGUUCAGUGGUUCGAGUGUUCGCCUGUGGACUAAAGGGUUCCGGCCGAGGGCACGUGCCUCGGUUGCAGGCUUGAUCCACCGCUUGUGCUGGGUCUGGAUGAAGCAGAACCCUUCACUGUUCCUGAUGGUUGGAAGGAACAAGCUUUUUCCAAAGAGGACAAUCGCAGAAGACUCUUCGAGGAGAGCAGUUUUGCAACUGUGUUCCCGAAAUACAGAGGUUGGCAAAACACGUUAAUACAGCCCUGCACCUGAUCGAGAACAGCAUAACUAUUUGUACAACAAAGAAGACUUUUGAUUCCUAUAUCAUCGUUAGGACCAGAGACCUAAUAAAACUGUUAGCAAGGAGUGUUUCAUUCAAACAGGUGCUACUGAAAGCUUCCCACUUGCAGGGAAUAUUAUUAAGAACUCUCCCUGCUUUUAAGUUGAAUUUGAAGGAUUUAUGAAGUAAUGGUUAAAAAGCUGAACCUUAAUGAUUAAAUGAGAGUUGGCAAAAGAUUCUGAAUUAAGAUCACAAAAUUGGGGAAGAUUUUUGUCAUAGUUCAAGCACAAAAAUGUGAACAAAUGCAAGGAACCAAAGAAAAAAACUGUCAAGAAAGAGUAUACGUCAUUCCCACCACCACAGCCAGAAAGUCAGAUUGAUUAAUAGCUGGCUUGUGGUGAAUACUUUCUGAAGGAAAGUCAAAAAAGCGACAGAAAAUGGAAGCAAUAAAGUUUUUACUGAAAUGAAAAUUGAUGUGGCUGCCAUCAAGGAAAAGGUUAAGAAAGCAAAGAACAAGAAACUGGGAGCUCUUACAGCUGAAGAAGUUAAGCUUAAAAUGGAAGCAGAUGAAAAGAAAAAAGGAGAAAAAAAAGUAAUACAUACAAAAAAGGCCUGAACUAGAACUUACUAAGCUAUCUCCUUUUGUAAAGGACUUUGAGAUACUAGGACAUUAGUUGCCUUAUGUGGAAGAAGUAAUACUUUCUCUCCCUUCCACUCUGAAAAGCAAUGGAAAAAAGUCCUCCAGUGAGGAUGAAAAAAGAAAAAGAUAAUACUCUGGUUUCGUUUUGUUCUUUAUAAGAGUGUUUAUUUUAUACGGCUGUUCUUUAUAAAUAUAAAUUAUAUUUUCCAUGUGUUUUUUGAAAACUUUUGUACUAGAAGUGGUAUAUAUGUCUUCGUACACAUUUCACCUAAUCUGUUCCAGGCAGACUUGGUCUAGCAUGAUACUAGAAAUAAUUCUUUAGGUUGAUGUAAAGAUUUUUGAAAUGUGGCUGUUGUAAUUAGCCAACAAAUCAAAUGUCUGAUGCCAUUGGUUCGUCUUUAAGUACAACUAUGUCCUAGCAUUUGGUUUUGAGAAAAUAAAUGCAGGUUUUUCAGUGCUCUGUCUACUGAUAACAAAUA